rnacentral:lncRNA from 1 species
GUGUGAAGUUCAUGAAUAAGAUCCGUUAUGUGCACAGUCUGGAAGAGCUGGAAAAGAUUGUUCCUAUGGAUCAUAUCCAGAUCCCAGAGUGUGUCUUACAAUUUGAAGAGGAAAGAAUGAAUGCUAGAAAAGAGAGAAUGGAGCAGGAACAGAAAGAGCAGCAGCAUCAAGAACAGCAACAGAAGCCCGUCAAUCCAGAGAGGACGACAGCGAUUGAAGCGCCUGUACAGUGAGCAGACGAACUUGAAUAUUUUUGUUGCUGACCUUGGACCAUUUUUCAUAUUCCCAAAUUAUAUAUUAAUACACACAUCAGAUGACUCGAAACUGGUCUCAGAUCAGCAACAAAGCGGAAACGUUGGCAGGUGAGAACUGAGAAGGCCAGCUGCUCUUGCUUUCGUCCUCAAAGGCACCAUUUUAAAAAAGCAUUUCGAAAUCCACCAACAGAUGGCUCUACGCACAGAGAAACGUCGCUGUUUGGUAGCAGGAUGUACCAUCGUGUGCUGUGGCCUCUUUGCUGUUAUCGCUUUUUUAAAUAGGCUGUUCCCUGCUUGCUGACCCUGGAGAAUGUCAUGUUGUGACCUGCCUUUAUUAGACGGGUGUGUCUGCUCAGGAUUCGAUUACUGGUGCAUGUCGAUUUCCAAGCAUCUCUGUGCUUCUCUGUGUGUAUGCGCCCAAAUCGAAUGUAACUUUUAUAGACAAAUAGAGGGGGUUGUCAGAGCUUAACUCACAGCUGUCAAAGCCUGGAAUGCUUUCUUGGAUGUUUUUGAAUGUCUUAACCCCUUCCAUCUUGUUGAACGACCAGCUUUUGUAAACGAUAAGUGCCAGUCAUCUCUGAAAACAUUUCGACAUUAGCUGUACUUUUAUGUCGCCUUAUGUUUGCUGUGAAAAUGGUUCAAAAUUAAACAUUCUACUAUAUGUAUGACUACAAUUUUGAUUUGGUUUUGUCA